CCUGGGUAGCGAGAUGCGCCGCUUUCGCCCGCGCUACCUCCGGCGUGUCCAGAACCCUCCCGUCUAGUCCGAGCGGCACGCCGUGAUAUGUCGAAUAGGCCGGUGUUGCGGCCGCGAUGGCGCAGAAUGCGAUUAGAGCGAUCUGCAAAAGAAAUGCACGCGUAAAUCUUGUGCCUAGACUAAUUUUCGGGGGUCGUCCACGAAUAGACGGUACUCACGAGAACCCUCAUGUCUUAUCAGUGUGAUCAAGCGCUGCUGGAUGAUUACCAGUACUCGCCCUAAGGUAUGGACUGCUAUGUCGUAUCGUGUCGAGGCUCGGAUCCCCUUUUAUAUAUGUGAAUCUUGGUAGGGAGUCGUCGACCCGUAGGAGGGGACCACGCCCUGCAGCAAGUGUCGUGCCUCAAAGUGCUGACAUUGACAUUACGUUAAUGAGAGGCCCCUGCCAUCGUCUGAAUCUGCCCGAGAAGGGAUACAUCUCUCCUCACAGCUAUGAACGCCGAGGUCAGUCUUGCACCGUCUUCCGACAUUGUUGGCCGGCUUCUUUUCACGCUCCUCAUCAUCGACCGCCAAGGGCUCGGCGGAUGCUCAACAGGAAGUCCAGCGUGGCUCGCCGCACGAAGGGUCGAUUACUUUUUUGCUGGCUCGAUUGGCGGAAGGUGAUUCGGGCCGUAAAAUCUUAUUUAUUAUCGCAAAAAUGAUGGAUAAUGAACGUUCUUCUCAUGGACACGUAACUGCAACGAGCAAGACCAUCAUUUUCCUACAUGCGCACAUGAAUUUAUAUUUAGCCUGAAAGAAAUGAGAUUUAACUGAUGAGCGAUGUAAUUAAAGUGAAGGCAAACACGUUAGUUUUAUUAUACUGAAUCACAAAACUAGUGGCGUUAUUUAAUUUGGAUUACUGAAUUCUGUUACCAAACUUGAGUCGCGAUUGCUUCAUGUUGCGUCUAUAUUUAAAAGUAGAAUAAUGGACGGUGUAAAAGUAUGACAUUAAUUAUAAUUGCGUUGCUGGUAUCUUAAUCCCCUAUUGACAGAUCCCCAUGUUUAUCGGUGAGAAAAAAUCUUCGAUGAAAAAUAAAACUGACAAGGCUGCGCGCCUUCCUUGUGGAGAAUCCCCCGUUCACCGUCCCGUUACCAUAACUUCUCGAUACGCUCGAGUGCUACGGCCGAUCAACGGCCGUCCUUGCCGAUAUCAAAGCGAAGCUACCGAAAGACGUGGAAGGGAAAGGAAGGGACAAGGCGCAAUUAAAAUGUAUGAGGUGCGAUGUAGAAAAAGAGAGCGAGUCGAAAUGAAGGUCGACCGCGCGUCCUCGAGAUCGAGACAGGAGAGGACUUUUCCUGGAUGAGAUCGCAGGACGGAUCGUUCUUUGACGGGCGUCCCGAUACGUAUCGGCAGGUGCGGAGACGCUUCUUUUUGCUCUCGCCGUUGAAAAUUCCACUUCCUCAAGGUCUCAUUUCCUGACUCUCUUUGUCUCUCGCGCAAGACGUUUAAGAUCUUGCGGGAGAUCCUCGAAGAGCCAAAGAUUUUAUCAUUUUCCUCAGAAAAGAAAGCGUCUUCCAUGAAAAUUAAAGGCAGUACUUUCUGGGAUAUUUUAAAGAAAAUAUCUGUUCGAGAAAUCUUUCAGAAUUUUAUUCAAGGGGACUUUAUAGAAGUCCAGAGGUAUAUGUAUAUUGGGAGGGAGAGGGGCAGGAUUAUUUGAAACUUGCAGAAAUACUUUUUUAAAUUAUUUAUUUAAGCGAUUUAUAUCUGCUACAUUUAUUAAAAUGAAAGUGUAAAUGUAGUAAAUUGUAACGCCUUAUAAGCAUUACGUUAAUUCAUUACGCGCUGCACCAACGUAAUAUCGUUGAGCAACGGCCAAGUUGUAAGAAACACAUUUGCACAUAAUGGUGAAUUAUUAACCUUAUGCUUUGCACGUACCUAAAUGCGGUUAGUUUAUAAUUAAUUAAAAUUGCUUUAAAUAAUUUAAUAAAUAAUUUAUGAGAAAUCGUAAGUAGGCCACUUACGAAAAGCAACGUUAGGAUCAUUCACGCAGGGUGCGGACACAUAUUUAAGUAUGUACCUAAGUUCAAACGAAUAUAUUAGAUAUUUAAGAUAUAUGAGCUGAAUACGGUCAACCUAACUUAUUUUAGUUUUUAUAAACUCUAUUUAUUACGUUUUAUAUUAAUUAUUAAAAUAAACUAAGUGAAAAUAAAA